UCAGCGCGAACGCUGGCGGCAUGGCUAAAACAUGCAAGUCGAACGCGAACGCACCUUCGGGUGUUAUUAGAGUGGCGAAAGGGCGAGUAAUGCGUUCCUACAUACCCCCAGGUCAGGGACAGUCCAGGGAAACUUGGCUUAAUACCUGAUGUGGUCUUCGGAUCAAAGGCUUCGGCCGCCAGGGGAGUGGGGAACGUCCUAUCAGGCUGUUGGUGAGGUAAAAGCUCACCAAGCCAUUGACGGGUAGCGGGUGUGAGAGCAUGACCCGCCGCAUCGGGACUGAGACACUGCCCGGACUCCUACGGGAGGCUGCAGUAACGAAUCUUCCGCAAUGCGCGAAAGCGUGACGGAGCAAUGCCGCGUGCAGGAUGAAUCCCCUCGGGGUGUAAACUGCUGUCAGGGUUUAGCAACACAAUGAGCAGACCCAAAGGAAGGGCCGGCUAACUUCGUGCCAGCAGCCGCGGUAAUACGAAGGGCCCGAGCGUUGCGCGGAAUCACUGGGCUUAAAGCGUACGUAGGCGGACGGGAAGGCGUCUUGUGAAAGCCCUCGGCUCAACCGAGGAACUGCUUGGCGAACCCCCCGUCUUGAGGCAAGUAGGGGCUGUCGGAACGAUAGGUGGAGUGGUGAAAUGCGUUGAUAUCUAUCGGAGCGCCGAAGGAGAAAUCAGGCAGCUGGGCUUGUCCUGACGCUAAGGUACGAAAGCGUGGGGAGCGAACGGGAUUAGAUACCCCGGUAGUCCACGCCGUAAACGAUGUGCACUAGAUCGAGGGGGUUCUGACACCGCUCUCGGUCGAAGCGAAAGUGUUAAGUGCACCGCCUGGGGAGUAUGGUCGCAAGGCAA
rnacentral:rRNA from 1 species